GAUGAACGCUAGCGGCAGGCUUAACACAUGCAAGUCGAGGGGCAGCAUAAAUAGUAGCAAUACUAUUGGUGGCGACCGGCGGACGGGGCGUAACGCGUAUACAACCUUCCCUAAACAGGGGGAUAAUCUGGAGAAAUUCGGUCUAAUACCCCAUAACAUCAGAGCAGGCAUCUGUUUUGGUUAAAAUUUCCGGAGGUUUAGGAUGGGUAUGCGGAGCAUUAGCUAGUUGGUGAGGUAACGGCUCACCAAGGCGACGAUGCUUAGGGGGACUGAGAGGUUGACCCCCCACACUGGAACAGAGAAACGGACCAGACCCCUACGGGAGGCAGCAGUGAGGAAGAUUGGUCAAUGGGCGGAAGCCUGAACCAGCCAUGCCGCGUGCAGGAUGACGGCUCUAUGAGUUGUAAACUGCUUUUGUACGAGGGUAAAGUGGGCUACGUGUAGCCUUUUGAAAGUAUCGUACGAAUAAGGAUCGGCUAACUCCGUGCCAGCAGCCGCCGCCG
rnacentral:rRNA from 1 species